UACGUAGGGUGCAAGCGUUAAUCGGAAUUACUGGGCGUAAAGCGUGCGCAGGCGGUUGUGCAAGACAGAUGUGAAAUCCCAGGGCUCAACCCUGGAACUGCAUUCGAUACUGCCUGGCUAGGGUACUGGAGAGGAGACUGGAAUUUACGGUGUAGCAGUGAAAUGCGUAGAUAUCGUAAGGAAGACCAGUGGCGAAGGCGAGUCUCUGGACAGUUACCGACGCUGAGGCACGAAGGUCAGGGGAGCAAACGGG
rnacentral:rRNA from 1 species